ACUGUUCACCCGAGCUCGGGCACUGUUCACCCGACCCAAAAACCUUCUCCGGCCGAUUUCUCCACCAUCCGACGUCGCCUCGUGUCGUGCCACCUAUCAAACUGACGGGCUCGACGAGCUCCAUCUUUUGGGCUACGCCUUGCACUCGGGCGACAACCACACACGGUGUAGCAACCGCCGGAAGUUACUGUUGUGGCGGCGCCGCCUCCUCCGGCUACCAUGGCUCGAGAUUCUUAGGGGGUUUUGCUUGUCUCAGUCCCAGCAACAUUCCCACAAAAGGAAUCGAGCCAAAUCGAAGUGUGACUGACGAAACGAGUGAGGAAAUUACUUUCAGGGUCGUGGAAGUUGCACGCAGGAAAGAAGUGGAUAACUCCGCAGGUGUGGAUUAGCGGGAAUUGACGGACCGCUCAGAGGACUUGAAGUUAUUUAUCUCCAGCUUGUGUGAGGAUUUUGUGCGACUAUCUUGUGAGGUUGUU